ACACGGGGUGCUGCACAGGAAGGAAGUGGGCCAGACAGAUGCCCAGGAAACUCUACUCCUUCUCCGCUCUGGUGUGUGAUUUUCCACCAGUGCGCUCCGUGGACGUGGGCCGGAGAGCUCAGUGACACCUAGGGGAGCGGGCCGUCUGCCGGAACCCACCUCGCAUUGGAACUGAGAUCGGGCUGCUUCCACCGCUGGCUGCUCUGGUGAACCCCAAGCACCUCAGAACCGGAUGGGAGUCGGGCGGCCUGCUACCCGGCUCCUCCCCUGAGGGUCCUCAUCCUGCUCCCCCUGGGGGGAUGGCGGCGGGUCCUGUAUCUUCGCAGGUGUGAAUCACGAGCCAUGAGCACAGCACGGCUCACCUGCAGCUGCCGAACAUAAGCUACCCAGGGUCUCAUCGCUGUCUCGCCUUUCACUCGUAUUCCUCUGGCACAGCAUCCCUGCACUUUACCCGGAAGUGGACAUGCUCGCCACAACGAACUAUCACAAGGAAGCUUCUCUGAUAAUUAAAAAAUAGAAACUAAUGAGUGCCGGCACCGGCAGGUCCCCGCGCGCGCCUCUGUGACGGUUGCACCACAACUGAGCGUAAUUAAUACCACCGAGCGACACUCAAACAUGCCUAGGAUGGGGACUUCUGUGAGAUGUGCACUUUACCACAAUCCUUUUAAUUAAUAAGCAGCCACGAGCUCCUGGAAGAGUCUCAUUUCAGAGUAAAUAUUUAUGAAGACUGAGAUCCUGAGACAGGGUCAGGCAGGGGCCUUCGCUCCCCAGAUUUCUGGGCCCGGACUCCCCGAAACCACAUUUCACUUUCAGAUGGUCCGAAAGCUCAUCUCCGUACAAAAUAAACAGGACAGCAAGCGUGUCUGCCCUGACCUGACUGGGAAGCUCUAAAUAACCGGCUUGGACUCAGAGGCGUAAAUCUCUGUCCUCCAUGAGAAGUGGAUGCGCAGAUAUGGCUCCCCAAGGAGAGUCAGGCUGCUAUUUUUAGCUCUCGCAGAGAAAACAAGAAGCUCCCAGUCUGCAGGUCCCAGCAAAGCGCCCCUGAGCCGCCUUCCCAGGGCAGGACCCCCAGCACCCCCGCCUCCCUGGAAAUGCACCCCAAGAGACACACUACCCUACUUGGGGCACGCCGCCAUGCACGCUCUUGCAGUUCUGGCUUGGUGACACCCUCAUCUUGCUCAUUCUUCAUGUGUUUGUUAUGUCACCCCUUUUCCCCCUUUCCCAUCCAAAAAUACUCUCAUCAAAAAUUCCAUAGGAAAAAGAAAGCCAUUGUCUGAUAGGUGAGAUAGCAUUUUUCAUUGUUAACUGAGCGUUUUUCAUAACUGAC
ensembl:lncRNA